GACGAACGCUGGCGGCGUGCUUAGCACAUGCAAGUCGAACGGAAAGGCCCUGCUUUUGUGGGGUGCUCGAGUGGCGAACGGGUGAGUAACACGUGAGUAACCUGCCCUUGACUUUGGGAUAACUUCAGGAAACUGGGGCUAAUACCGGAUAGGAGCUCCUGCUGCAUGGUGGGGGUUGGAAGUUUCGGCGGUUGGGGAUGGACUCGCGGCUUAUCAGCUUGUUGGUGGGGGAGUGGCUUACCAAGGCUUUGACGGGUAGCCGGCCUGAGAGGGUGACCGGCCACAUUGGGACUGAGAUACGGCCCAGACUCCUACGGGAGGCAGCAGUGGGGAAUAUUGCACAAUGGGCGGAAGCCUGAUGCAGCAACGCCGCGUGCGGGAUGACGGCCUUCGGGCUGUAAACCGCUUUCGCCUGUGACGAAGCGUGAGUGACGGUAAUGGGUAAAGAAGCACCGGCUAACUACGUG
rnacentral:rRNA from 1 species